GUCAAAAUGGUUUUUUGUUGUUCUUUAAAUUGUUUAUUAGUAUUUACGGUUAUGUAUCUCCAAUAAUUGUUGAGUCGUUUCAUGGUUCUUUAUAUUUCUAUUUCAAAAAGUACUACGUAGCAAGGUUGAGAUUUUAACAACCGUACUAUCGACUAAAUUUAAAAACAAUCACAAUACCGGGUGAUCUAAAAGGUACGCAGACAAAAAUGUUAGUGUCUUUUACUUCGGCGCGAGUGCGUAUCUUUAUUUCCCUGUCCGUGAAUCUUGCAUUUUAAAGCCCACCUUUCUUUUCAAAGCUCCUGCAAGUGCAACAUUUUGCUAAGGGGAGGGAUCAUAGAUGGAUUUUACUUGUGUAGAUGGUAUGUGGUCUCCUUACUGUAAGUCAAUGAAAAAUAUGCUACUCAUCAUGUUAGUUAUAACACCUUCCUUAGUGGAAGUGGUCGAAGAUGUCAAUUUGCAAAUUAUCUAAUCAAGAUGGCGAGUAUAACAAUGCGAAUGAUAACAUUUCCAUUUGUUGUUAUUACAGGCUUAUUGAGGAUAUGUGGCACAAAACUUACCGGGAUAAACCACCGUGCACGAUUUAUGUCUCAGUGGUUCGGUACUUACCCACGAGUUUUGGUCAACUGCGGUCAAUUCCACCAUAGAGCGUGUGUACUGAAGGGUUAAUUAGGGUGAAUGUUCUGCGGGCAACGGUACAAUUGAAUAACUGAAAACAUGGACCGCCCAGUGCAACCAUGCUUGAUAAAUAAAUUUUCAUGAAUUACUCAAUCCGAGACUCAAUCCAUCCGCAAAUGACAUUUGUCAUAUUAUCAACUUUAUAAAUGUGUUGUUUUUUCGGAAAUACAAACUGGCUGCAAUGAUUUUCGAUCACCUGGUAUACAAUAAUGAAUGACUUAUUUAUAUAGGGUGUCCCAAUAAAUUAGUUUCUGAAUAACACGUACAUUAUAGAAAAUAUGAGUUGUACUGUACUGUUCAAAAUGUACACCCCACGAUAACCAGUGCACUCAUCUUAACAUUUUUGAGGGGAUUGCCACUCCAUCUACGGAUAACAGAACACUUGCCUAUAAUUAUGAUGAGAAUUAUUUUCUUCAUUAUUGUUUUGCAAAUGUGUCUUAUUUGUGUCAUUUUUUAUCUUGUAGUAAUUAAAAAAUAAAAUAUUAACCGAG